CAGUGACAGGGCUGUUUAGCCAAAGGGGAGACAGUCGGUCUCCCCCUCAAGCAGAAGAGCUGUGUAUCUAAAGAGGAGACAGUCAGUCUCCCCCUUCAGCAACCAGGCUCCAACCAGGCUACUUCCACGGUAGUGCUGGCACCAGGGCAGAGUGCCGCUGGUCUCUGCCCACUCAGCAACCCACCAAUCCCCCGCACAGCUGUGGUGAGGCACCUGGACAUGGACAAGUAUCUUCUCUACCCGAGUGUAGUAACCAUUUAUUGUGGGUGGGCUGUACUGCUGAUUGUGUUUUGUGGGUGGGCUGCUGGACUAACAAGGGCAC